UACAGAGGGGGCAAGCGUUGUCCGGAAUUAUUGGGCGUAAAGAGCUCGUAGGCGGUCUGUCACGUCGGCUGUGAAAACCCGGGGCUCAACCCCGGGCCUGCAGUCGAUACGGGCAGACUAGAGUGCGGUAGGGGAGACUGGAAUUCCUGGUGUAGCGGUGAAAUGCGCAGAUAUCAGGAGGAACACCGGUGGCGAAGGCGGGUCUCUGGGCCGAUACUGACGCUGAGGAGCGAAAGCGUGGGGAGCGAACAGG
rnacentral:rRNA from 1 species